UACGAAGGGGGCUAACGUUGUUCGGAAUUACUGGGCGUAAAGCGCACGUAGGCGGAUAUUUAAGUCAGGGGUGAAAUCCCAGAGCUCAACUCUGGAACUGCCUUUGAUACUGGGUAUCUUGAGUAUGGAAGAGGUAAGUGGAAUUGCGAGUGUAGAGGUGAAAUUCGUAGAUAUUCGCAGGAACACCAGUGGCGAAGGCGGCUUACUGGUCCAUAACUGACGCUGAGGUGCGAAAGCGU
rnacentral:rRNA from 1 species